rnacentral:rRNA from 1 species
UACGUAGGGCGCAAGCGUUGUCCGGAAUUAUUGGGCGUAAAGAGCUCGUAGGCGGUUUGUCGCGUCUGCUGUGAAAACCUAAGGCUCAACCUUGGGCUUGCAGUGGGUACGGGCAGACUAGAGUGCGGUAGGGGAGAUUGGAAUUCCUGGUGUAGCGGUGGAAUGCGCAGAUAUCAGGGGAACACCGAUGGCGAAGGCAGAUCUCUGGGCCGUAACUGACGCUGAGGAGCGAAAGCGUGGGUAGCAAACAGG